rnacentral:rRNA from 1 species
GACGAACGCUGGCGGCGUGCUUAACACAUGCAAGUCGAACGGAAAGGCCCUGCCUUUGUGGGGUGCUCGAGUGGCGAACGGGUGAGUAACACGUGAGUAACCUGCCCUUGACUUUGGGAUAACUUCAGGAAACUGGGGCUAAUACCGGAUAGGAGCUCCUGCUGCAUGGUGGUGGCUGGAAAGUUUCGGCGGUUGGGGAAGGACUCGCGGCUUAUCAGCUUGUUGGUGGGGUAGUGGUUUACCAAGGCUUUGACGGGUAGCCGGCCUGAGAGGGUGACAGGCCACAUUGGGACUGAGAUACGGCCAAGACUCAUACGGGAGGCAGCAGUGGGGAAUAUUGCACAAUGGGCGGAAGCCUGAUGCAGCAACGCCGCGUGCGGGAUGACGGCCUUCGGGGUGUAAACCGCUUUCGCCUGUGACGAAGCGUGAGUGACGGUAAUGGGUAAAGAAGCACCGGCUAACUACGUG